UACGUAGGUGGCAAGCGUUGUCCGGAUUUACUGGGCGUAAAGAGCGCGCAGGCGGUCGAAUAAGUCGAAUGUGAAAGCCCCCGGCUUAACUGGGGAGGGUCAUUCGAUACUGCUCGACUUGAAGGCAGGAGAGGGAAGUGGAAUUCCCGGUGUAGUGGUGAAAUGCGUAGAUAUCGAGAGGAACACCGGUGGCGAAGGCGGCUAUCUGGACAGUGACUGACGCUGAGACGCGAAAGCGUGGGGAGCAAACAGG
rnacentral:rRNA from 1 species